rnacentral:rRNA from 1 species
GCGGCGAACGGGUGAGUAACACGUGGGCAACCUGCCCGCAAGACGGGGAUAACUCCGGGAAACCGGUGCUAAUACCCGAUAAUCCCGGCUCCCGCAUGGGAGCGGGGUGAAAGGCGGCUUCGGCUGUCACUUGCGGAUGGGCCCGCGGCGCAUUAGCUGGUUGGUGAGGUAACGGCUCACCAAGGCGACGAUGCGUAGCCGACCUGAGAGGGUGAUCGGCCACACUGGGACUGAGACACGGCCCAGACUCCUACGGGAGGCAGCAGUAGGGAAUUUUCCGCAAUGGGCGCAAGCCUGACGGAGCAACGCCGCGUGAGUGAGGACGGCCUUCGGGUUGUAAAACUCUGUUCUUGAGGAAGAACCCUUCCGAGGCGAACAGCCUCGGAAGUUGACGGUACUCAAGGAGAAAGCCCCGGCUAACUACGUGCCAGCAGCCGCGGUAAUAC